rnacentral:rRNA from 1 species
UACAGAGGGUGCGAGCGUUAAUCGGAAUUACUGGGCGUAAAGAGCGUGUAGGCGGCCAAACAGGUCCGUUGUGAAAACUGGAGGCUCAACCUCCAGACGUCGACGGAAACCGUAUGGCUAGAGUCCGGAAGAGGAGAGUGGAAUUCCUGGUGUAGCGGUGAAAUGCGCAGAUAUCAGGAAGAACACCUAUGGCGAAGGCAGCUCUCUGGGACGGUACUGACGCUGAGACGCGAAAGCGUGGGGAGCGAACAGG